GCCGCUGACUCACCCGCCCCGCCCCCCGCGCCUGACCCCGGGGAGCGGCGGCUCCGCCGGGCGGGCUGUGGGAACUCGGCCCCGACCGCGCCCCCGCCUCCUCGGGAGAAGCUCCUGCUCAGGAACUACUCAUUUACUGCUGCUGGUAGAGGGAUAACGCGUACGGGUUCAUACAGCGGAGGAGACUUGAAAUGUCCCCAGAUCCACAGCAAGAGCUGAUGGUAAUGACUUAAUAUCGUUUAAAUUACUCUUCAGGAUUCCCAUCGUAUCCUGCCUUGUGUAUCUCUCAUGCAGCAUAGCAAGGGACAAAAAAUGGAGAAGGGAAAAGGGAAAGACGUUAUUUUUGUACUUUUUAUGAUACUACAUAUAUAUAGUUAACACCAAGCAGCUAUAUACAGAUAGUUCAAAAAAAGUAUGAAUACAUAAAGUGUCCAGUGAUCCCAAACAGCAGGAGCAUGAGGGGAAUGACUCUUCCAAAGCAUAGACUGGUGAAUCUACAGAAGUUUGCAUAACACCACUCUGAGUCACGUAUGUCUGUAAAGUUAUUUCAUGGUCACUGGAUCAAAGAUCUACAUAAACUAAAACUAAAUAUUUUGAUUUCCAGCACAUGGAUAAGUGUUUGCAGUUAUUCACAUGCAGUUCGUUUACCUGAAAACCAGCAGUCACAUGCAGUUUCUUGAACUGGGUGCAGCAGUACUCAACCCAGCAGCAGCAGCAGCUACUGAGUGCCAAAGGAAAAUAAAACAUGAAGAAGCAUUAUUCUGCUGGAAAAAUGAAAUGGAAAAUGACUCUCCUGUAGCCAUAGACUCAUGAGGAGCAUAUUACAUUACUAAAAUGUUUAGCUUCGUAGUUGCAAACCAGCCACUAGAGGUCAGUGGUUUGGAAUAAAAUUAGCACAAGAAGGAA